AAACCAUGAUGAGGACACUCUAAGAGAAGAUCCUCAAAACAUUCCAUACACCUAGAAAAUGAUUCAUUGGGUUUCUGACGAAAUUGGAGAAUGUCGUUCCUCAGUUU
rfam:Cephalotus follicularis DNA, scaffold: scaffold3635, isolate: St1.